rnacentral:snoRNA from 1 species
GGUUUAAUGCCACGUUGCCGGUAGCAAUAUAAUUGCCAUGGCCGGCGGUGUCAUGAUUGAACCUAAAUGAAUUUCAUAUUUCGCAUACUGAUAGGAACCUGUUAUGAUAAAUCAACAUUCAUACACAGAGCCGUUUUUUGCGAUUACAUUU